CUUGUCUCUCAGUGUCGACGCGAUUCAGUGUUGAUGGAAAUUUUGCUACGUUUCGUCAACGUGAAUCUCGAGCGUUACCUUCAUCUAAUCGCCGCGUAUUAAACUAGCAACAAAAACAAACACACAGAGUGAGCUCCGUGAAGAUUGCAUUUUCAUGCGCUUCUACAUUUGUCGUCGUUGUCAUGUUUAUCCGGAGCCUACGUUACUCGCUUGGGCUUAGUGUUGUUUGUGUGUCUGCUUGCCUGCCUGUUCGCUUGGGACAGGUCUACAGCAGUGAAGGCGAAACAAAUUCGCCAUCGCUCCCCUCGGUCCGAGCCCAGCAUCGGUCUACACGGCACGUCACCCCAAAUAAACACGUUUUUGUCGCUUUUGUGUUUAUUGCCCACGCUUUGCGCUCUGCACUCGGUGUGUGUUCGUAGUUCUCUCCCUUGCUGCUCCAAGUUCACCUGUGCAUUCGCGUUCGUACAUUUUAUUUGCAUCGUUUGCGUUGUUGCAAUUGUUGUUGCCGUUACUGCUGCUGCUAACAUGCAGUCUUAGCCUUCUCGGUAGGGCUGCUGUUGCUGUUGUUUUUGCUGCUGCUACUGCUGAGUUUUGUGUUUUGUGCAACAGUGCAGCUUGUCUUCUACAUAAACUGCAAUAAAAUACAUGUUCAUGUAUGCGUUAAAAUAAAUAAAUAUAAUAUGAAGUGUUCCUUUGUGAAGCUUAAUCAAAUAAUUGUCAUUUCUGCUGUCAUUCGUCGCAAGUGUUUCUUAUACAAAUAACCUAUAUACAAAUGUGGAUGCAAUAAAGGAAAUAAGUAAUUAUAAUGAAGUGUGCUUAAAACUUCAAACAAACUGACUACAACAACACACGCAUCUUGGAUUAAAUGAAAUAAGUCUGCUAUAACUACAGUUAUAUAUUUCUUGACUGUUGAAAAAAAUUAUAACUCAAAUCAAAUAAAUAAAAUACACCAUUCUACAAUAUAUUGGAAGAUGUAAAUUCCAAAACAAAAUAAGUGAACCUCAACAUCAUAUCAGCUAAAAGAAGAGCACGCCUGCCAAUAAAUAAUAACAAAAAAUUACAAAGACACCGGAGAAUGCAAGUUAAACGCAGGCGCAUAAACUAGCCAAAUAAUCGAAAAAUUAAAUAAACUGUUGCACAUCGAAGUUGUGUGCAAUUUUGCAAUUAUCACUUUUCAUUUCCACCCACGGCGCGCAGCAAGAGCCAAACAAAACGCGUUGCCAUAUCAGAAGUAAACGACAAACAUACAAAAAGACAACACGUUUGCACGCAUAUGAUGAAAGAUUGUGUAUAUAAAAGUGUUAUGUGUGUGUGUGUGUGAUUGUUGGUUGCUGAUUGCAGCGCCAAAAAAUAAAACUGCACGAAGAAAUUGCCAAUAAUUCGCUCACUUGAGGCAUUACAGCGUCAUCAGCAGUGCUUCAGUAGACCACAGUUAAAAACUAGAAAUAAAUAUACUAUUCGGUAUAGUGGUUGUUGCGUUGUUCAUGCUGUUCUUGUUGCUGUCGCUGUCGCUGUCAGCGUACACGCAUUUCGCACCAUAUUUGGCCGCUCGCACACAUCCUGUUGCAUCGCAUCGCCGCAGUUUAGCUGAUUGCAUCGCAUUACAAUUUUAAAUCAACUACACGGAUUUCUUUCGCUCAAAAGGGACUAUCCUCAUCAUCACAUGCCAUGGCAACCAUUUCCACAUCAUACAUGACUGCACAUAUUCCAACAACUCCUGCAGAUGUGUCUUUAAUACCAUCUUACAACAACAAGUCGGUAGAAGAUUUGCUCGACGAGUGUUUCCAAAUUGGAUAUUCUCGUUGCAACACUGGGUUAGUUUGUCAAUCUAUCUGCAAAAAGAUUCCCGGCAGUUGCAGUGAUACAGUAAAUGCUAAAGUAAAAUAUUGUAAUGAUGCUGUUAUUAUAAGAACUUCAAUUAUUGUAUUAACAAAUAAUGUUGUUUUUCCAAAAGAUUCUGCUUUUAGACCUACAACUACAUUCUGUUUAUAUACCUAGAUAUAUGCUAAGUUUUAUGUAAGUAUUGUAAACUAGCAAAGUUAUAGAGAUUUUCGUGAAGCAAUUUCCUUCAAGUGCUAAAAUGGAUUAUCUUCAAUGCUGAUCGGCAGAAGUAUAAAAGAGACUGAGUUCUAAAUUAGUUAAUAAAUUCUCACGUGUUAUAGCUAUAUAGUAUAACCGUGGAUGAAAAAAUGGCGCACUUAAUUCUUUCUUGAUAUAAAAAAAUAAUUUUCAGAGCUUGCUGAUGUUAUGAAUGUUAGUGUAUCAAAUAAAAGAAUAUCAUAUAGCAAA